rnacentral:rRNA from 1 species
UUAAGUUAGAAAGGGCGCACGGUGGAUGCCUUGACACUAGGAGUCGAUGAAGGACGGGACUAACGCCGAUAUGCUUCGGGGAGCUGUAAGUAAGCUUUGAUCCGAAGAUUUCCGAAUGGGGAAACCCACCAUACGUAAUGGUAUGGUAUCCUUAUCUGAAUACAUAGGGUAAGGAAGACAGACCCAGGGAACUGAAACAUCUAAGUACCUGGAGGAAGAGAAAGCAAAUGCGAUUUCCUGAGUAGCGGCGAGCGAAACGGAACAUAGCCCAAACCAAGAGGCUUGCCUCUUGGGGUUGUAGGACAUUCUAUACGGAGUUACAAAGGAACGAGGUAGACGAAGCGACCUGGAAAGGUCCGUCGUAGAGGGUAACAACCCCGUAGUCGAAACUUCGUUCUCUCUUGAAUGUAUCCUGAGUACGGCGGAACACGUGUAAA